GCUGUGAUGGCCGAGUGGUUAAGGUGUUGGAUUUGAAAUCCAAAGGGAUUGUCCCACGUAGGUUCAAGCCCUACUCACAGUG